rnacentral:rRNA from 1 species
AGCCCGUUAAUGGGUGAUGGCGUGCCUUUUGUAGAAUGAACCGGCGAGUUACGAUUUGAUGCAAGGUUAAGCAGUAAAUGUGGAGCCGUAGCGAAAGCGAGUCUGAAUAGGGCGUUUAGUAUUUGGUCGUAGACCCGAAACCAGGUGAUCUACCCUUGGUCAGGUUGAAGUUCAGGUAACACUGAAUGGAGGACCGAACCGACUUACGUUGAAAAGUGAGCGGAUGAACUGAGGGUAGCGGAGAAAUUCCAAUCGAACCUGGAGAUAGCUGGUUCUCUCCGAAAUAGCUUUAGGGCUAGCCUCAAGUGAUGAUUAUUGGAGGUAGAGCACUGUUUGGACGAGGGGCCCCUCUCGGGUUACCGAAUUCAGACAAACUCCGAAUGCCAAUUAAUUUAACUUGGGAGUCAGAACAUGGGUGAUAAGGUCCGUGUUCGAAAGGGAAACAGCCCAGACCACCAGCUAAGGUCCCAAAAUAUAUGUUAAGUGGAAAAGGAUGUGGCGUUGCCCAGACAACUAGGAUGUUGGCUUAGAAGCAGCCAUCAUUUAAAGAGUGCGUAAUAGCUCACUAGUCGAGUGACACUGCGCCGAAAAUGUACCGGGGCUAAACAUAUUACCGAAGCUGUGGAUUGUCCUUUGGACAAUGGUAGGAGAGCGUUCUAAGGGCGUUGAAGCAUGAUCGUAAGGACAUGUGGAGCGCUUAGAAGUGAGAAUGCCGGUGUGAGUAGCGAAAGACGGGUGAGAAUCCCGUCCACCGAUUGACUAAGGUUUCCAGAGGAAGGCUCGUCCGCUCUGGGUUAGUCGGGUCCUAAGCUGAGGCCGACAGGCGUAGGCGAUGGAUAACAGGUUGAUAUUCCUGUACCACCUAUAAUCGUUUUAAUCGAUGGGGGGACGCAGUAGGAUAGGCGAAGCGUGCGAUUGGAUUGCACGUCUAAGCAGUAAGGCUGAGUAUUAGGCAAAUCCGGUACUCAUUAAGGCUGAGCUGUGAUGGGGAGAAGACAUUGUGUCUUCGAGUCGUUGAUUUCACACUGCCGAGAAAAGCCUCUAGAUAGAAAAUAGGUGCCCGUACCGCAAACCGACACAGGUAGUCAAGAUGAGAAUUCUAAGGUGAGCGAGCGAACUCUCGUUAAGGAACUCGGCAAAAUGACCCCGUAACUUCGGGAGAAGGGGUGCUCUUUAGGGUUAACGCCCAGAAGAGCCGCAGUGAAUAGGCCCAAGCGACUGUUUAUCAAAAACACAGGUCUCUGCUAAACCGUAAGGUGAUGUAUAGGGGCUGACGCCUGCCCGGUGCUGGAAGGUUAAGAGGAGUGGUUAGCUUCUGCGAAGCUACGAAUCGAAGCCCCAGUAAACGGCGGCCGUAACUAUAACGGUCCUAAGGUAGCGAAAUUCCUUGUCGGGUAAGUUCCGACCCGCACGAAAGGCGUAACGAUUUGGGCACUGUCUCAACGAGAGACUCGGUGAAAUCAUAGUACCUGUGAAGAUGCAGGUUACCCGCGACAGGACGGAAAGACCCCGUGGAGCUUUACUGUAGCCUGAUAUUGAAAUUCGGCACAGCUUGUACAGGAUAGGUAGGAGCCUUUGAAACGUGAGCGCUAGCUUACGUGGAGGCGCUGGUGGGAUACUACCCUAGCUGUGUUGGCUUUCUAACCCGCACCACUUAUCGUGGUGGGAGACAGUGUCAGGCGGGCAGUUUGACUGGGGCGGUCGCCUCCUAAAAGGUAACGGAGGCGCUCAAAGGUUCCCUCAGAAUGGUUGGAAAUCAUUCAUAGAGUGUAAAGGCAUAAGGGAGCUUGACUGCGAGACCUACAAGUCGAGCAGGGUCGAAAGACGGACUUAGUGAUCCGGUGGUUCCGCAUGGAAGGGCCAUCGCUCAACGGAUAAAAGCUACCCCGGGGAUAACAGGCUUAUCUCCCCCAAGAGUUCACAUCGACGGGGAGGUUUGGCACCUCGAUGUCGGCUCAUCGCAUCCUGGGGCUGUAGUCGGUCCCAAGGGUUGGGCUGUUCGCCCAUUAAAGCGGUACGCGAGCUGGGUUCAGAACGUCGUGAGACAGUUCGGUCCCUAUCCGUCGUGGGCGUAGGAAAUUUGAGAGGAGCUGUCCUUAGUACGAGAGGACCGGGAUGGACAUACCUCUGGUGUACCAGUUGUCGUGCCAACGGCAUAGCUGGGUAGCUAUGUGUGGACGGGAUAAGUGCUGAAAGCAUCUAAGCAUGAAGCCCCCCUCAAGAUGAGAUUUCCCAACUUCGGUUAUAAGAUCCCUCAAAGAUGAUGAGGUUAAUAGGUUCGAGGUGGAAGCAUGGUGACAUGUGGAGCUGACGAAUACUAA